GACGAACGCUGGCGGCGUGCUUAACACAUGCAAGUCGAACGGAAAGGCCCUGCUUUUGUGGGGUGCUCGAGUGGCGAACGGGUGAGUAACACGUGAGUAACCUGCCCUUGACUUUGGGAUAACUUCAGGAAACUGGGGCUAAUACCGGAUAGGAGCUCCUGCUGCAUGGUGGGGGUUGGAAAGUUUCGGCGGUUGGGGAUGGACUCGCGGCUUAUCAGCUUGUUGGUGGGGUAGUGGCUUACCAAGGCUUUGACGGGUAGCCGGCCUGAGAGGGUGACCGGCCACCUUGGGACUGCGAUACGGCCCAGACUCCUACGGGAGGCAGCAGUGGGGAAUAUUGCACAAUGGGCGGAAGCCUGAUGCAGCAACGCCGCGUGCGGGAUGACGGCCUUCGGGUUGUAAACCGCUUUCGACUGUGCCGAAGCGUGAGUGACGGUAAUGGGUAAAGAAGCACCGGCUAACUACGUG
rnacentral:rRNA from 1 species